rnacentral:rRNA from 1 species
AAAAGCACUUUGAAAAGAGAGUGCAAGAGAACGUGAAACCGUUAUAGUGGAAGCGGAUGGAGCCGAUGUAUUUAGUACGUAUUCAGCCGUUAAUGGGUGCAAUUUUUUGAGUUGAAGUUCUGCAAAGUCUUCGCUUGAUUUUGUUGUGCUCGUUGGCGGUGCAUUUGCGUACAAAGUGCGCCGAAUCGGUCGAUUCAGUCGUUUGAAGCCCAAAAAGAGGACUUUGCUUCGGCUUAGAAACCUGUUUGGGUGAAUGGCGAAUUGGGUUGAUUGUAAGCAGAAGUUGGUGUAAUCGUGACAGUGGUUUCGGAUUUGAGUGUUUUUAGUACGACACAUGUGUUUUGCUUUUAACAUUUGAGUUUGGAGUUAUUGUUGCUCGACUUCCAUUCGGUGUCUCGUCGGUCACCCAUUUGACCCGUCUUGAAACACGGACCAAGGAGUUUAAGGUAUACGCAAGUCAUUGGACGUUAAAAUUCAAAGGCGUAAUGAAAGUGGGACACUUGGUGUCUGCGAUGUGAAUCGGUCGUGUUUCGACACUACUGAUGCAACAUCGACCCGUGAUUAGGAUUUAUUCUGUUGCGGAGUCUGAGCGUAUGCUUUGAGACCCGAAAGAUGGUGAACUAUGCCCGAACAGGACGAAGUCAGAGGAAACUCUGAUGGAAGUCCGAAGCGGUUCUGACGUGCAAAUCGAUCGUCUGAUUUGGGUAUAGGGGCGCAAGACUAAUCGAA